UACCGUGGCCUCCAGAAAGGGGCCUUGUUUGUUUUCGCAAGCCCGAUCCAGUUUAAGUCCUCAAGGCAGCGUCCCCUGCUUGCCACAGAAAAAGAGAAUCUCUCAGGAGAAGAAGAAAAAAAGUGCAGUCUUUGGAAUAUGCAGCUGUUCAUGAGAAAAAGUGGGACAUUUAGAAGCAUCGACAAAUUGAAUUUUAUUUGCAUGCCUCUACAAGUGGUAAGCCUCUCCCAGGAGUGGACCAGGAGUCAGUCUGGAAUUACCUGGUCAGCACUAGUGAGAUAGUCUGCCUGGUGGACUCUGGCCAUCUACCAAAGUAAGGUGCCCUUGCUAGAAACUUCCUUGUCCCACCCCC